rnacentral:rRNA from 1 species
AUUGAACGCUGGCGGAAUGCUUUACACAUGCAAGUCGAACGGUAGAGGGGGCAACCCCUCGAGAGUGGCGAACGGGUGAGUAAUAUAUCGGAACGUGCCCAGUCGUGGGGGAUAACGUAGCGAAAGUUACGCUAAUACCGCAUACGAUCUAAGGAUGAAAGCGGGGGAUCGCAAGACCUCGCGCGAUUGGAGCGGCCGAUAUCAGAUAAGGUAGUUGGUGGGGUAAAGGCUCACCAAGCCAACGAUCUGUAGCUGGUCUGAGAGGACGACCAGCCACACUGGAACUGAGACACGGUCCAGACUCCUACGGGAGGCAGCAGUGGGGAAUUUUGGACAAUGGACGCAAGUCUGAUCCAGCCAUGCCGCGUGCAGGAUGAAGGCCCUCGGGUUGUAAACUGCUUUUGUACGGAACGAAAAGGUCUCUCUUAAUACGGGGGACUCAUGACGGUACCGUAAGAAUAAGCACCGGCUAACUACGUGCCAGCCGCCGCAGUAACAC